AUAUACCAAUACCCUACAACCCAACAAAUGAAGCCCAAACUUAUCAGGGUCCAAAUCUUCCCAACUUUAUGUCACGACCCAAAUCGAUGGGCCGCGACGGGCAUCCGGUACCUUACUCAACCGCGUACCAACAUAACGUAUUUUUUCGUAUUAUACUUUAUAAAUAACUGAGCUAGAGAGGCUUCCGUGAAAUAGGUAGAAUACAACAUGUAAUACCAACUUAUACAUAAGGCAUAUGGGCCUCUAAGACUAAAAUAACCACUCGUACACUAAACAUACGCCGACAAGGCCAUACAAUAUUUUACGUACAUGAUAUCUGUCUACAAGCCUCUAAGGAUACAUAAUUGUCAUAAAGGUCGGGACAGAGUCCAGCCAUACCAGACAAUACACAUCUAAAUCAUAUAGACCAAACAAGUAACUCCUGAGCAAAUGAAGUGCACCGACAUCUUCCGCUGAGCUGAUCGCCAACUUGGAGGACUUUCGACCUAUCUAUCGAGACCUACAAGCAUGAAAUGCAGCGUCCCCAGGCAAAAAGGAUGUUAAUACAAAUAAUGUACCGAGUAUAUAAGGAAUGAAAAUGAGUAAAUAAUAGACAUCUGGGAAGCAUGGAGUGAAAGCCUCGACAUGUACGUCUGCAUAGCUCUGUGAAUAAUUUCAUUUUUUAUAAUAUCAUGCAUAUGUGUAUAAAUGUCACGUCAUUCAUAGGUAUAUGCGUUCAUAAUAUCAUCAAGCCUCCGAGGGAAUCCAUCAUAUCAUUUCGAUCACUGUGGGCAAAUUAUCAACGUAUACCAGCCGAUCAGGUGGUGGUGUGUAUAUAACGUCGUAGCCUUUUCCCAUAUCUCAUAUACAUAUAAAUACAUAUAUACGCAUAUAUAACGCCAUCUGGUCAUGGGUCAAUGUGCAUGUAUAAAGGCAUGAAAUGCAUAUGAAAUACGUUAAUAAAAUCCCUCGAUACGUCAUAAGACCAUUAUGCCUCUGAUUAAUAUCAUAAAAUAAACUUUAUAAACUUACAUAUUUUCUGAGACCCAUGAACAGAUGAUAGAAUAAUAGGACAUAUGGAGAAUCACGAACAUACACACCUCUAAUAUUUCUAUGAAUAGAAUUAUUUUUGGAAGUUGUGCAUUUGCUCAUUUCGUAUGUUUUGUAUAGAUCAUGCCAAAAGAAAGAAGGGAUAGCCUUAACGUACCUGAGCUGAUUCUCUUAACAAUUCCUCUAACACCGUUGAUUGCGACAGCACGUAACUGCGGAUCAAAGUAGGGAAACAUUUGUGUGGUAUUCUUGAGAAAUAUUGCACCGUACUCCCUUAGAAUCAUAAAAUCCAAUUAUCGUAGUGUUAUAAGGGUUCAUAAUAAUCCCCUUGAGAAAGAAAGUUCCAUACGAAAGAGUAUCCAUGUUGUUGGAUCUUUGCAAGUAAUGUUAUCUAUAAGAAACCAAAAUAAGAAUGUUGAUGGUCAUAUCUUUUAAAUUGUAUUAAAGUAAGAAACCAAAUGAGGCAACUUAUGUCCAAUUCUCUUAAUUAUCCAAAGGAUACAUGUAACCAAGGCAUCCUUAUGUAUUUUUACUCAUCAUGGACAUUUUUCCACUUUGGCUUGGCUUAGCUUAAUGCCAUGUGGCAACUCCAAAAAAAUGUCCUUAUCCACAUAAUCCUUUUUAAUACCACAAUUAUCCCUACCAUUAAUCAAUUAUCCCCAUAAUUAGGAAUCAAAUUACUUAAAAUACUACUACUUUUGACAUACCUUAUACACCUCACUAUCAUGGCCGUGUGGUAUCUUGUAUGGUACUAGUCCAUAUAUAUCAGAUAUUUUAGCUCGAGCCGUAUUUUAUCCCAAAUGCCAGAUUUCAAUGGAAUUCAUUUCCUUCGAUUUGCUUACCCUCUCACCUUCACGAAUUUACUUAUUACUUGUUUGAAAUAGCAUAAUCCUUAAAAUCUCCAUAUAAUCUUUUCCUUGGACUGAUGUCUAUUAUCUUACGACAAAUUCAACUUACAAUACUACAAGGUGCAACAUCGUCGUAAUUUAGUACUUGUCACGCCCCAAAAUCGAAGAGCGCGACCGGCAGUCAACCGGGUAAACCCGACUGAGCAAGCCAGUUAGAUUCCAUUCUACCCAAUUUCAUCUUUGAAUAAAGAAGAGAUGUACUGCAUUAAUCAUAUUUUAACAAUAUUUCAUUAAUAACUCUCAUUUCAUUUACAUUGGCAACUUCAUUCAUAAUUUUCAAAAUAUUACAAGUUUAUUGAUUUAUUAAGAACAUGUUUAGCAAAUACCAACAUUUCUAGUUCAGUUCCCAAUAUCAAACACCACCGACAACCUGUCUAUGGAGCCUCUAAAUACAACUGGAGAGUAAUAUGAAAAUACCGGCAACAACGCUCCAGUUAUACCUCAAAAUAUAAAGUACAUGAGAAAUAGAUGAUACAAGACCCUGAAAUGAAGUGCGGCUCACCAAGUCAGCUGGAAAGAGUGCACUGCUAUCACUAGUCGAUGCCGCCUGCUGUGGGACCACCUGUAUCAAUUAAAGAUACAGCGCCCCCCGGAAAAUUAUAUAUAUAUAUAUAUAUAUAUAUGCCGAACUCAUUUGAUAGGUGUAUAUAUGCCGAACUCAUUUGGAAUUUUUAGCCUAUUAUGUAAUUUUCUAAUUUAACUUAGACUUAGGCCUUUACUUGGACCCCAAAUUACUCAUUAUAUGACUUAUACACUUAUUUACAGAAUCCAAUUGAUGUCCAUCAUGUUAAUAGCACGUAAAAUAUUAUAAUUAGCCUACCUGGAACCACGAAAUCCUAAAUUACUUAGCGAAAUUUUUCGGGGUCUUCCAUUCUCCCCCCCCCCCUUAGGAUCAUUCAUCCUCGAAUAAGGAGUAGAGUUCGCUCCAAAUACUUAACAUAAUAUAUCUCUUUUCUCACCUACCUCAAGCCCCUAAAUUUUGACUAACUCCUAAUUUUUUCAUAAAUUUCGGCAGCGUCUCCUUUGUAACUAGGCCUAUCCACCUGCUAGAGAAUUACCAAAACCAUUCUAACAACACAUCCACAACGAGACAAAAUAACACAAUGUAUAUAUCAAUAAUACUAAUCUCAACAUUACAAGCACUACAUUAUCAUAAGGAUACCUGGACAUGAUUUGCACAUUUUUAAAUAAUAACACCUAGAAGGUACCUUUCAAGUCAAAACCAAUUGCUAUACAAUCAAGAGAAAAUACCUUAUUCCACAAUACUCUCGGCCCUCAAAUGUUGCCUCUUAUACUUACAGACUUUGCCAUAACACAUUCGCGGAAACAACCUCCACUCCCAAACAUACCUAACAAGGAUGACAAAUAGAUACCCAUCAUAGGCCAACUAUCUAUUACCUCCACCUUCACUAAUUUCCACCAGAAUUAUACAUAAAGAAUUUCCAAUUGCCUCCUUCGACAUAGACACAUGAAACGCCGGGACAUGGAGGCAAUUGCAAUAAUAGGGAAAAUGUCAUACUCCUAUAGAGUGAGCAAGUGCAUAAACUGUUACCCAUAUCUCUCUCCUUGAGCUGUCUGGGCACAUAGGAAAUCAUCCUACCGUAUUGCAUCAGUACCGCGUCGAGACCAAUACGCGAUGCACCACAAUACACAAUAUAAAAACAUCCUUUCUAAGCACUUAAUUUGCGUUGAAAGAAUGUGUAAAUGCCUCAAAUCCUAUUCCCAUCUCACCUCAUCAUUUCUGUAUGAGUUAAACUUACCGAUUUUGGAGGUCUAGACAUGUAAGAAAGUAUCACCCCAUGGUCAGGCAUUCAUGGCACGAAAUUAAUGGUCAUACCUAUUCACACACUAGAACAAGGGAAAAAAGUGGUUGAGUGACUUACUUGUUGUUCCUUUGUUGCUGGGGUAGUGUCUUAGCUAAUGUCCCUUAACUCCGCACCCGAACCACUCGGUAGUGCCCCUACGACACACCCCUAGAUGAUGCCUCCUACACUUAGGGCAACGGGGCCACUACUGCAUUUUAUGUCUCCCACUUGACUGGACCUGUUGGUUAGAUUUCAUAUGGCCUUGGUCUUGCAUAUUAUGGCCCAUCGCUGCUGAUCAGGCACUGAUGGUAGCACCGAAGCUGAGGUCGGAAGAACUAACUAUGUGGGUCAGGAUAACACUCUCUUGUGUGAUUCCUUCCUACCAUUACCCCUACUAUAAGAGCCAUUAAAUUUGCUCGCAGAUCGGGCCUUUUUGUUGUUAUCUUGCUCUGUCUUUAUUUUUAACUUUAGUUCCUCUGUAGCUUGAGCGAACCCACCAUUUUCCCAUAAUUCAUAUCAGAAUUCAAGGCAGUUGUAGUUGCUUAAUUAAUAACCAAGGGGCUAAGAUCCUGCACAAACAGGCACACCCUAGCCUCUAUAGUGGGCAACAUGUGUAUCACAUACUUAGAUAGAUGCGCAAACUCCAUAUGGUACUCCCACACACUCAUACUACCUUGCUUUAGACUCUCAAACUCUGUUACACGGGCUGCCGUUGUCUCAGCAGGCAGGAAAUGAUCUACAAAGGCGUCGGCAAACUCACUCCACCUCGCCGGAGGGCUCCCCCCCUCACAGGAAUCUUCCCACAACUUAAACCACAAAUAGGCCACCCCUUUCAAAUGGUAGGUAGCCAACUCUACUCCCUCUGUCUCAGUUGCACGCAUAACCCUUAGGGUCUUGUGCAUCUCAUCUAUAAAAUCCCGGGGGUCCUCCUCUAGAUUUGCACCCGUAAACACUGGAUGAUCCAGCUGAAGAAAUCUGUUCACCCUAGAACUGGUGGAAUCCCCUUGUUGGCUAGAUGAACUGGGUGUAGCAUUUAGCCUCUGGGCCUGAUAGGCCACUAGCUAUGUCAGCAUCUGGAUAGCUCCCUAAAGAUCCCCAUCAGAAAUACCAGAAUCGGAAGUUGGGGUUGGAGGCAGAAUAGGAAUAUUAGUGGGAGGGAUAGUAGCACCCUCAAUAGAUAUAGGUACUGGUGUAGUGGAAUCGAGCAGUGUAGUAGUUGGGGGAAUGUCCUCACCCCUCGGGUUCUAAUCCGCAUCAUCAAUUACGGAAUCGACGGCUGCUCCUGGCGCAGCAUUGGCUCCUUGGUCAGUUAUUACCCUCUUCUUAGGUGCCAUGUACUGAAAGUUGAAGAAAUUCAUUAGUUAGAGGAGGAAUAGUUUCAUAACAAAGUUUUUCCGCACGAUCCAGAAUAUUAAAGAAGGGUGUUAUUCCUAAAUUCCCAAGUAGCCUCCAACUAAUAGAUGUGGUUGACAACACACCGAUAAGAAGGACUCUACCAGACACGGCUCCAAGAUAUCCUAGGACACUUAAUAACCUUAGGCUCUGAUACCAAGUUUGACACACCCCAAAACUGAGGAGCGCGACCGGUGCUCAACCGAGUAAACCCGACUGAGCAAGCCUGUUAGAUUUCAUUCUACCUAAUUUCAUCUUUGAAUAAAGAAGAGAUGUACUCCAUUAAUCUUAUUUUAACAAUAUUUCGUUAACAACUCUCAUUUCAUUUACAUUGGCAACUUCAUUCAUAAUUUCCAAAAUAUUACAAGUUUAUAGAUUCAUUAAGAACAUGUUUAGCAAAUACCAACAUUUCUAGUUCAGUUCCCAAUAUCAAGCACCACCCACAACUAGUCUACACAACCUCUAAAUACAACUGGAGAGUAAUAUGGAAAUACCAUCAAUAAGGCUCUGGUUAUACCUCAAAAUACAAAGUACAUGAGAAACACAAGAUACAGGAUCCCGAAAUGAAGUAGGGCUCACCAAGUCAGCUGGAAAGAGUGCACCGCUAUCACUGAUCGAUGCCGCCUACAAUGGGACCACCUAUAUCAAUUAAAGAUACAGCACCCCUGGUAAAAGAGAUGCUAGUGCCGUUGAAUAGCACUAAUAUGUAUAGCUAGAAGUCCUCAUACAAAAUAGAAUAACCACAUAAAAAAGGAAAUCAUAGUACGUCAAACUGCUAUAAAAUGUCCCAUAGAUUUACAUUUCAGGUAUUUAUUAUACUUACCUCACUUUGAACUUCAUUGGGGUCAAUUCAACCAUAUGAACUAUACGUGGGAUACAAAAUAUAAUGUAAUCAUAACAACAUGUAUAAGAAAGGGAAAUGAAAUAAAAACCACCUACCGUUUGUGUAAAAUAGGCAUCUCACUAAACCGUUCGGCCCUUUCUUAUUAUGCACAUAUACGUUUUAUAGACCAUUUGUAAGGUUCACAUAUUAUAUUAUACACCUAUGCGUUUCAUAUCCCAUUAGGGUUCACAUAUCAUAUUAUACACCUAUGCGUUUCAUAGCCCGUUAUAGGGUUCACAUAUUAAAUUAUACACCUAUGCAUUUCAUAGCCCGUCCAUAGGGUUCACAUAUUAUAUUAUACACCUACGCAUUUCAUUGUUCGUCCAUAGGGUUAGCAUAUUAUAUUAUACAUCUAUGCAUUUCAUAGCCCAUCCAUAGGGUUCACAUAUUAUAUUAUACACCUAUGCGUUUCAUAGUCCGUCCAUAGGGUUCACAUAUUAUAUUAUACACCUAUGUGUUUCAUAGCCCAUCCAUAGUGUUCACAUAUUAUACACUAUAAACCUUUUAUAUUGUACUUAGUUUCAUUUGUACCUUUAGCUACUCACAACAUCAUUAAUUUAUUUGCUCUUUUGGCCAUUCAUACGAUUCUUUUUUCAUGGCACAAUGACCGUAUUUCAUAUUCCACACUUUAAUUUCUUUCCUCUCAUGGAUCGUCAUCAUAAUUUUCAACAUAUAUAAUAUAUUUCAGAAAUCACAACCUUAAGUUCAUUAGAAAUGAAGACUUAAACACAAUAGAUUUCUUUCCAAUAAAUAGAGUAAAAUGAUUAGCAAUCAAAGCACAAGUUAAAAUCAUAGACAAGUAACACCAUUUAAUUCUUGAACUACUUUCCCCCAAGAGGGCGACACACAAUUUCAACUCAUGAAUAUGUAAGAGCUCAAAACACGUUGGGAAAACUUACAAGAUUUAUCAUUAGUUAACACAACCACAAUUUUGGGCAUGACUUGAGUAUAUAAGAUUUUAGGCAAAUCCACAUCCGAAAUCAUUUAUAAACACUUGAAUCAAGGCUUACUCUAUAACCUUUCUCACAUUAAUCAUUUCAUUUCAUCGGCACCGUUGGCCACCCUCCAUAUCCACAAUUCACUUAUUUAACUUCCAAACAACUUUAUAUUUUAACACCAAUACAUUUCCAAUCAAGACUUUAGGUAUACAUAUGAGCAAUUAUGAGUCUUAAGCAUAUCAAAUUUUCUCACACAAUUUGGCAUACUAGCCUUUAUUUGAAACACGACGCAAAGCCGUAACAUUUUAAUACACAAUCCAUACUUUGAUCAUAUAUCUUCAUUCAUAAGGAUAAUUUGGAAUAGUCAAGUUUAUAGGUAAUAACCCGGAAUAUAGAAAUUAGGAAUUUUGAGCCAACCAAACUUGAACUUAUGGAAACAUUUAUGGAAUUCGAUUCUAAGAGAGAAAGUUUAGCCAACAUACCUUGUUUAAGACUUCCUUAAGUUACUACAACGUUCAGGAAAUUCUAGAAAUCCCAAACUACUUUGAGACAUAACAAAAUUGAACACAAAUUAGGGAGAUAUUCAUGGUUUCAUCUCAUUUGAGAUUUUUAUCAAACACUAGUUGUGCAUCUUGAUUUCAAAGCUCUUCUACAAGAUUUCCUUCAUUCCCCAACACAAUCUUUACCUAUUUGUGUUCAACAAUCUUCCCACAAAUAUAAUUUGUACAUGCAUGCAUAGAUAAUACUAUUACACCCAAGAAUCAUACCUCAAUAACCUAUCUUAUACCCAAAACUCAAAAUUAAAGUCUAGUGUAUAGAACCUUACCUCUUAGAUGAAGAUCUUGUGAUUGGUUUCCUUGAUUAUUGAAGAUUGAUGAAAGAUUGAAUGGUUAUAAUGUUAGGCUUCUUCCUUCUCGCUCUAAAAUGCUCUCACCUCUCUCUAGAUUUAGUAUAAAUUAGCCGCAAAUGAAGCCCCAAAGUUUAUUUAUCAAUGUGUUUUCGGACAUGAAAAUUUCAAAAAAUAAACCCCGAAGUCAAUUAUGUGGUGCAAUUAUGCUAUAGCAUAAUCGAUAUGUGGGCAACAGACUUGCAACAUAAUCAUUAUGUGAUAGCAUAAUCGACAACUUAAUCAAUUAUGCGACAGCAUAAUCAAUAUGUGAUAACAUAAUAUUUUUGCCCGCCUCUGCUUCACUAUACUUCACUAUGACUUAUACAUUUAUUUACCAAAUCCAAUUGAUGUCCAUCAUGUUAAUAGCACGUAAAAUAUUAUAAUUAGCCUACCUAGCACCAUGAAAUCCUAAAUUACUUAGCGAAAUUUUCUGGGGCCUUACAAUUCUACAAAGCAUGAAAAUUUCCAAAAAUAAACCCCGGAGUCAAUUAUGUGGUGCAAUUAUGCUAUAGCAUAAUUGAUAUGUGGGCAGCAGACUUGCAACAUAAUCAUUAUGUGAUAGCAUAAUCGACAACAUAAUCAAUUAUGCGACAGCAUAAUCAAUAUGCGAUAACAUAAUAUUUUUGCCCGCCUCUGCUUCACUAUACUUCACUAUGACUUAUACAUUUAUUUACCAAAUCCAAUUGAUGUCCAUCAUGUUAAUAGCACGUAAAAUAUUAUAAUUAGCCUACCUAGCACCAUGAAAUCCUAAAUUACUUAGCGAAAUUUUCCGGGGCCUUACAAUUCUAUAAAGCGUAACAUCAUUGUAAUGAAAUACUGCAAGGUGUAACAUCAUUCCCCCUUUGGAAUAUUCGUCCUCGAAUGUUGGCUGAUGCUUUUAUCAUUUUCAUAAUUUAUAGCUCCUGUGAAUACCUCAAUACUCUCCUUUCCAUUUAGGCAGUUGUUCUGUAAAUAAAUCCAAAGGCCAGGGCAUUCCCACCUUUGGGCCUCUUUCCUACACCAUGACUUGUGAUCGAAUUCCUUUAAAUCUCAUAACUGUUGAUAUCUUCUAUCAUGUAGUCUGUAUGACAUUUUCCCUGUAAGUGCGCCUACAUGACUCUUUUGUCCUUUUUUUCCUCAAGCUUUUUGCCAAUCUCUAGGCCUCACUUUGUAAACAUAUAUAGAGCUUAAUAAGAUGUCCUUCUGGGCAUCUAUAAGCAUACUGAAGUUCUUCCCUCGGUACUUUGUCGAACAUACGAAUAAUGUUAUAUCUUAUUUCAUAGAACUGGUUAUCCAUCUGUAUGACUUUACUGCAUCAAGGUAGGUCAUAUUAUACUAUAACUCUUACUUCGUAUUAUCGUUACUCAGGUCUGCUACAAAACUUCAAGCUACUUUUAUUGCUCCUUAUCAUAGAUGUAUAAUCUAUGUCCUUUAAUACUUCUUUAUUACUAUUCAUCUUAAGAAUGACGGCCUAAUCUUACCUCAUACUUGGUGACUAUUUGUCCAUCCAUUGUCGAUUCACCUUAAUAUUGAUGUAUCAUCUAUCACUGAUAACUUGAUCUCUUAUUUAACAUUUCUACUAGGGGUUACGUCUCAUCGUGUCAUUUGAAGUGAUUGUCUUGAUCCACCUGGGGGCGAUACGAUACUAUACUUCCAUAAUCGUAUUUCAUAGCAUUACAAUGUGAUUUACCUUACAUGGUUAUUUAAUUCCUGUACAAUUCAUGAAAUCAUUACUUAAUCGAAGGCCCAAACGUCAUCCUUCAUCUAUCACAGUUACACCUUCAUUCUAUUGCCAGGGUAGCAUUCUAUCUCUUCCAAAGGCCACUAGUCUUAGACUCAUUUAGGCAAUACUGAACUUUUUAUAACUUAGAGAAACCAUCAGCUCUCUGGUUUUCAUGUAUUUAGUCAUGAGGUCUUAUGCCUUCUCAUCACCUUCUCACUUGCCCUUUCUUAUCCUUACUCCUAUCUUCUUAAAACCUUGUUGCUUUACCAUACUUUAGCUUGCGACCUACAUAUUCAUUUAUACUACUUGCAACCUUUCUUCAACUUGCUUGCACCAUAGAUUUCCUUAUGUUAUUCUGGAACAUCAAGCAAGACAUCACAUCAUCUCAAACUCUUCUUUUACUUUCUUAACUAGAUCUCUCGAUACCUAGAAACCAUAGGCUGAAAGAUAUGCUACUGACAAUGCUGCUAUCAUUCCUGGAUAUUGAAUCCCCACACUUUUAGCUUUUAAUCCAAAGUAUGGACUAUUCACAACCUUCUGCAUUUUAGUAUUUCGUACGUUGUUCACCUUUACUUACAACCUUAAAAUCUUGCAUCGUACCUUCUAUCUCUUUCAUGAACACCUUUCUACAUAAGUAUAAUUUAUGUCUAUAACUUGAAGCUCUAUUAUAAUACUUGCACCUCUGGUGCAUACACUAUCCGGUGAGCUCCGUACUGACUCCUUAUGAGGCUGUUACUUUUCCAACUAGCUUUAGCAUAGGGACAUUAUAUAAUAUGGCUAUUGUACUUUCUCUUUUGUAUCUCUGAAUUAAGAGUGAUCCUGCAAUGUUCUCAAUCAUGAUGUUCAUAAUUUCUUGGGUCCAAUAAUCAAUCUACUAAUUUACUUAGUUGAUGUAUCUCCUUAGUUUCCUCUUUCCUAUAGUCAAUCUUUAUGUAGGCUUAAACUACUAUCCGAUCUUUGGCUCCUGGUAUUAGUUAUCACUUUAGCCUUUCAUGGGCAUUAUGGAAUAUCCAUGAUACAAUCUUCUAACGACUCAAUCAUUUGUCUAUGCCCUGGGUUCAAUUCUUUCUUUUUAACUUAUACCGGAGUCUUCUAUGUCUGUAUGAUUGUCAACAUAUAAAACUUUAAACUCUUAAGUGCGUUUAUAACGUAACUAACUCUGGAUUAAUAAUGGAAUGAUUAUUUCCGUUCCUUCUUAGCUUUCUUUAAAUGUAAGCUAUUACUUUUCCUAGUCUUUCUACCCCCUUGUUGCGUCCAUACUUAGCUUAUCUUAGUGUCCAUAUUUGCCAGAGUUUUUAUACAACUCAUAUGAUAUCAAAUAUUACUUUUAAUUUUACUUCACUUCCAUUAGCCAUGGUAGGAGCCACUUUCCUUUGGAGUGCUUACAACGUUGUUAUGAGAUUGUUGUUACAUGUCCAUUUCCUUUUUAGGUCGUUGUGCUUAGGUUGAAGCCUUCUUCCUUACCUUCUCAGCUAGUAUUUCGUUGCAGUACUUAGGGAGAACCCUUGAUUCGUGUAAAGCUGUGAGCUCAUUACGGACUUUUUUGAUGUCCUUCCUUGCCUAUAAUCAUCGGUAGUUGCUUACCUCCAUGCCCUUGUGCUUGUAGGGUUGCUUCUGAACUGCUGUUUUGAUUUCCUUCCCAGUGGCACUUUCUUUUAUCCUCGUAAUACUCAUAAGGUACGUUUAACUACCCCGACUCCUAUUUGAAUAUAUCUCAAGUAUUACAAUGUUAUAACUGCGGGGCUGAAUUCACUAUAAUGGGUUGUACUAUAUUUAUAUUGCACAACUUGCUGAUUUGUCUGUAUCUUCUUGACUAGCCACAACUAGACUCUUCCUGAAUAAACUACUAAGUACUCGUUGGCCCAUUCUCAUGUCAUUACUCCACAUAAUCUUUCUGGGGUUAUUCCCUUUGUCUUUACUUAUAUCUUGCGCUGGCUCUUUAUUUUCAACAACAUCCCGGUCGAAACCCUUACUUCCUCUCCUUGACGUCAUGUUUGCAUAAUGUUCUGGAAUCAUAGCAUAUUUGUAGGAUUUGAAUAAGUGCAAUCUUAUCCCUUUCUCAUUUUUAUCGCAUUCUUCCUUUACCAUUCCAUAAUUACUAGAACCACUUAGUUCUGACUUAACGCCAAACACUCCAUAUUCCCCCCUUUAGGGAAGUACUCAGAUUUAGUGCUACGAUGAUCUAUGUAUAAAUGUUUUACCUCUUCACAUUUGGUGUCUUUUCACAUCAUUGAUGACCCUUACUCGCCUUGUGGUAAUCCUUCUGUACCAAGGAUAACAAAUUUCCUUACUCGCGAGGGUGACACUUCAUGUAACUGGCACAUACAGUCCCUUAAGCUUAACUUUGCUCAUAUUGCUUGCUUUAGGGAAGUGUCUUUCUAAAUGAUCAUUUUCUGAAUUUCUCAUGAAUCUUAUUCUAUUAUCCAUUCUAUUAUUGCCGGAACGCAAUGUGAAAUUCUCGUGAUGCCAACCAUUAUCAAAUCACUCAGUCCCUAAUUCAUGUUUAGUUUAUCUUGUUUAGCAAUCCAUACUAAUUUCUAUUACUUUGAGGUAUAACUUUUCCUUCUGUAAUUAUGUUAGAGUCACCAACUUAUUUUUCGAAAUGAGGAUGUCACUUCAUGACCUAUACUCUUUUGUUGCCUCAAGGCCUGUUACCUCUUGUAUUUGCUUUCCUUGUUUAUGGAUUCUAUAAUACUGUCAUCCUUUUGAUCUAACGUUGUCAUCCAUGUAUCACAUCUUACUCAUAAUGCUUUACUAACUCUCUUCUUAUUUUUCUGCUAACAUUUCUGUCUAUCACCUUAUUCUGAAAACUUUAACAAGACAUUCUUUUGGUUUUAGCUCCCUUUUGCUCCAUCCACUGGAUCUUCGAGCUGCCUAACAUUCUCUCUCUAAUAGGGGCGGGAGACACAAUAAGAUAAUAUUUAUCCCUUCCAGGCUUCCAGUGCCUAUCAUUGUAGUACUCAUAUAUUGUUGUACUAUUUUAGAGUGCACCAUCUGGGUGUCUCACAAGGAGAUCUAUUACCACAUUUUCAAUAUCCUUCGGAAAUGUCAACUAACACAAAUAAUCCAUUCACCAUUUUGGGUUACUCUAACCCCAAGCGGAUCCUGAUAUCUCGUCCUUUUGUUAAACUAAAAAUGCUUAUAUUGCUCUAGCUGAAUUGUAAAUACUGAUAAUCUUCAUUAACUGGGCACCUCGUACCCUUUUUUAUCUUGCUUCUUUUACUUGUUGAAACAUGUAUCUAUCUUCUGAAUCUCUCAUUCCUUAACGUAAUAGUGGAUAGACAUUCUUACCAUAGGGAUCCUUAUUAAGAAGCUUGCAAGUCUUAUUGCGCACAUGCCCUACUGAAAGCUUUACAUUUACUCAUCAUAAGCAUUAUGCAAAAUCGAGUUCCUCCGACUGAAUUCUUCCACUGAUAUAUCUCUUACGAACCGUCUUUUCGGAUGUAGGUAUCGCCGUAUUAUGAAUAAGAUAGUGUUUAGGAAACUGGGUUCUUACAACGAAGCUCUACCACACGAUCUAGAGUAAGAAGAAUAAGUGACAGUCCUAAAUGCCUUGUAGCCUCCUGCUUAUAAGUGUGGUGCACGACACACCCAUAAACAAGACUAUACUAGACACGACUUGUAGACUCCCUAGGACAGAACUACUCUGAUACCACUUUUGCCACGACCCAAAUCGAUGGGCCACGACGGGCACCUAGUACCUUACUCAACCGAGUACCAACAUAGCGUAUCUUUUCGUAUCAUACUAUCAUAUAUAAGUGAGCUGGAGAGGCUGCCAUGAAAUAGGUAGAAUACAACAUGUAAUACCAACUUAUACAUAAGACAUAUGGGCCUCUAAGACCAAAAUAACCACUCGUACACUAAGCAUAGGCCGACAAGGCCAUUCAAUCUUUUACGUACAUGAUAUUUGUCUACAAUACUCUAAGUAUACAUAAUUGUCAUAAAGGUCGGGACAGAGUCUCGCCAUACCGAACAAUAUACAUCUAAAUAAUAUUGACCAAACAAGCAACUCUGGAGCAAAUGGAGUGCACCAAGAUCUUCCACUAAGCUAAUCGCCUACAUAGAGGACUCUCGACCUGUCUAUCGAGACCUACGAGCAUGAAAUGCAGCGUCCCCAGAAAAAAGAGACGUCAGUACAAAUAACAUACCGAGUAUGUAAGGAAUGAAAAUGAGUAAAUAAUAGACAUCAGAGAAAUAUGGAGUACAAAACUUGACAUGUAUGUCUGCAUAGCUCUGUGAAUCAUUUCAUUUUUAUGAUAUUAUGCAUAUGCAUAUAAAUGUCAGGCCAUGCAUAGGAAUAUGCGUUCAUAACAUCAUCAAGCCUCUGAGGUCAUUCAUCGUAUCAUUUCGAUCACUGUGGGCAAAUUAUAAACCUAUACCAACUGAUCAAGUGGUGGUGCGUAUAUAAUACCAAAACCUUUUCCCAUAGCCCAUAUACACAUAUACGCGUACAUAAUGCCAUCUAGUCAUGGGUCAAUGUGCAUGUAUAAAUGCAUGAAAUGCAUAUGAAAUAUGUUAAUAAAAUCCCUCGGUACGUCAUAAGGCCAUUAUGCCUCUGAUUAAUAUCAUAAAAUAAACUUUAUCAACUUACGUAUUUUCUGAGACCCAUGAAUAGAUGAUAGAAUAAUAGGACACAUGGAGAAUCAAGAACAUAUGCACCUCUAAUAUUUCUAUGAAUAAAGUUAUUUUUGGAAGUUGUGCAUUUACUCGUUUAGUAUGUGUCGUAUAUAUCAUGCCAAAAGAAAUAAGGGAUAGCCUUAACAUACCUGAGCUGGUUCUCUUAACAAUUACUCUAACAUCGUUGAUUGCGAUAACACGUAACGGCGAAUUGAAGUAGGGAAAAAUUCGUAUGAUAUUGUUGAGAAAGAUUACACCGUACUCCCUUAAAAUAGUAAAAUCCCAUUGUCACACCUCCUUUUUCUACCCCGAAAGAGGUAUAGGGGAGUUUUUCCAAUUAGAUUGACAAAAAUCGAAAUAGGAUUAUUUAUUCAAAUUAAGAGUCGCCAAUUGGGAUAUUUUUUGGUGUCCCAAGACACCGGUUUAUAAUAUCGAGUCGAGGAAGUUUGACUCUGUUUUACAGUUCGCAGAAGAUAGAAAUCUGGGCAAGGAAUUUUGUUAAUCCGGGAGAAGGUGUUAGGCAUUCCUGGGUUCUGUGGUUUUAGCACAGUCGCUCAACUAUUAUUUUUUGGCUUAAUUAUCUGAUUAAUUACAUAUUUUAAACCUAUUGUGUAUUUUUACCCGUUUACUGCUUUUAAUUGUUUAUGGAAUUAUUCUAGAACAAGUUACAGUUGUUGUACACCUGUUUGUUUGGUACACAUUGCGAAUCGUAUCACGGUAACCGUACCCACAAUUUACACCAUAAUUAAAUUAUUAACAAUAUUAGUUGUUAUGGCCGGGUCAUAUAAAUGUACCCCCGGAUUUGGAAAUUAUGUACCAUAACAACGUCACAGGAACAGUAUCAAUAGCUAUGAUAAUUUUAUUAUAAACGCGCCUAAAGUGAACUACGAAUGUUCAAAGUUUUUCUACACUAGUUACGAAUGUUUUAAGUUUUUCCAUACUAGUUUUUGCAUUAAUAUAAAGGCCAUAGAUAGGUAUUCAUUUAUGAAUGAUAUGCCUCGAUUUAUUUCAAAAAAGAUUCAUACUCAACUACAGCAAACUAAGAAUUUUUAUAUUUAAAACUAAUUUGAAAUUAGCUAUCACAACUACGCUACGGGAACCGUACCCGUAGUUGUGGUGAUUCAAUUACGUGCUGAAAGCAAACUACGAAAGUUCAUACUUACCUCCUAAAUUAAUUCGCGGUUUAUUGACAGGCCACAUAUUAUAACUAAGGAGUCCAAAGUUGUGCAUGCUUUUAACCAUUGAAAUAUUGGGCCAUCAAGAGGCCUGUUAUAUAUGCAAAUCUUUGAGGAAGAUACGGGUUGCGGAUUUGGGCUCGAAAUUGAGCCCAAAAGUUAAAGAAAUCGGGAGCCAAAACCCAUUGAGCCUGGCUCCAAACACGCUGUCUCAUCUGGGCCAGAAAUGGGCCCAGUUUUUCCCAGCAUGAGAGCCUUUGAUAUUAAGGCCCACUUGAGACUUAACCUCUUCUAAAUCACAUGUAACACAAAAUGUUAUAAAAUUUUUGGAGAAAAAAAUCAAAGGCUGACCAAACAUAUUUUGCAUCUAAUUUAUCACAUGCCAUUAGUAACAAUAUAAAACUACUUAACCCAAAUUACCAAUUAAUUACAUUGAAAAAAUGUGGGUAAUUACUUCACUUGCAACCAGAGGUUCAAAUAUCACGUGACAAUUUAACAUUGAAUAUCCUUUGGAAUUGUAUGGGCUUAGACCCAAUUUACCAGAGACAAUGCACUAAUAUGAAAAAUGCCCAUGCCUUAUUAUCAAAUACUACAGUUGAACAAACUAAAUGCAAUGAAUUAAAACAUGGCCUUCGGAAGAAAGCUAAUCUCCAUAUAGCAAGGCAAUUUUGGAAAGGUGUGUGCGUAACAAACUGUCACAAAAGGAGUAGAAUCAUUUCCAUACAACUUGAUGUUUUCCUAAACCAUUAACCAACCCCUAAACCUUAUGACUCAUGCUAAGUAAAGCAGAAUGGACAUAGAAGGGACUAAAAGUGGAUCCUUAGGUCAGUAAUACACACAGUUCGUACGCAACACAAGGAUGAGGCAAAAAUCAGUGGAUACCAGGUUCUUUAUUUAAUGUUCUCAUAACUUCAAAUGUUAAACAGAGACAGAAUUUAGGAUAGAUUUAAACUUAUCUAGGUUGAACUUAAGACCAAAAUGAAUCCAAAAUAGCAGUUCCAGAACUUAACAGAACAAGGGAGCACAUGUCCACAACCAAACUUUCACUUAAAAUUCAACAAAACAAAAGAAAACUUAACAAAAAUAUUACAGGUGCACACUUAACAAAUUCAUCCUAUAUUACUAUUCAAACAGGGCUGAAUGAAAUCGCUAUACACGCCUCAGACGUUAAACAGAAUUGCAGAGAAGAUGAAGUGUAAGAAAGAAGCCACAGUCACAUGAAUCUUAUGUACCAAACACGAAUCUUCAUCUACUAGUAAAAGACAACACAUGAUAUUAACUAACCAAGAAAAGAGUUACAUGAGUUAACAAAACAUAAGGGCUAAUUACUGAUGACAUUGCUGUAUUAGUCUCAAAACAUUCAUAUCAUCACAUUUAACUUGCAGCUCAAGGUUUCAAGGUGGUACCUGGAUACAACAAGCACAACAAGAAAGUAUGUUUAGAAAUCAACAAGGUGUGAUGGACUCAGCAGCAAGGAACAACAGUAAUAAUCAAACCAACUCCAUUAUCAAAUCAUAGCUCAACUAAAGAACCCAAAAAAUCAAAAAGAAAAUGUUUUCCCAAACUUUGUAAAGAGUUAGUAAGUAGAGAAUUGAGCUGGAUUUUUUGAGAGGUUUUUAGAGUCUGUUCUCCGCCCCUUCAGUGAGGGGAAA
rnacentral:lncRNA from 1 species